rnacentral:rRNA from 1 species
UGCCAGCCGCCGCGGUAAUACGGAGGGAGCUAGCGUUGUUCGGAAUUACUGGGCGUAAAGCGCGCGUAGGCGGAUUGAUUAGUCAGAGGUGAAAUCCCAGGGCUCAACCCUGGAACUGCCUUUGAUACUGUCAGUCUAGAGACCGAGAGAGGUGAGUGGAAUUUCCAGUGUAGAGGUGAAAUUCGUAGAUAUUGGAAAGAACACCAGUGGCGAAGGCGGCUCACUGGCUCGGUACUGACGCUGAGGUGCGAAAGCGUGGGGAGCAAACAGGAUUAGAUA